AACGAACGCUGGCGGCAGGCCUAACACAUGCAAGUCGAACGAAGUCUUCGGACUUAGUGGCGCACGGGUGAGUAACACGUGGGAAUAUACCUUUCGGUGGGGAAUAACAUCGGGAAACUGAUGCUAAUACCGCAUACGCCCUUCGGGGGAAAGAUUUAUCGCCGAGAGAUUAGCCCGCGUCCGAUUAGGUAGUUGGUGAGGUAACGGCUCACCAAGCCUUCGAUCGGUAGCUGGUCUGAGAGGAUGAUCAGCCACACUGGGACUGAGACACGGCCCAGACUCCUACGGGAGGCAGCAGUGGGGAAUAUUGGACAAUGGGCGCAAGCCUGAUCCAGCCAUGCCGCGUGAGUGAUGAAGGCCCUAGGGUUGUAAAGCUCUUUCAACGGUGAAGAUAAUGACGGUAACCGUAGAAGAAGCCCCGGCUAACUUCGUGCCAGCAGCCGCCGUAAAAC
rnacentral:rRNA from 1 species